rnacentral:lncRNA from 1 species
AUGAACACACGGGCUAUUUAUAGCAGUACAGGACAAUUGAAAAUAGCUGUGCUGGCUUCCCAUUGGUCUCAGAGGGUGCUGGCUAGCACCCGCAACCUCAUUGGAGUAGGUGUGAGUGUGUUUCUGCCACUGAGGCUACCAGAGGAUAUCUGUUAAGUGAACAUCAGCAUAGCCAAUGGGGAGCUGAACUAUGUGGAAGACCAAAGGUGGAAAACCAUGGCUCUCACCUCUGUUGGAGAGGAGCAAUAGUCAUCUCCUUGUACCACUUCUAAACAAGAAUAUCAGCGAGGGAUGAUCAGCUUCAGCCCAUCUGGACAGAAUGGCCUGUUUACGAGUCAACACAUUCCUCUGCCAUUGUCAAGCUGAUCUCCUUUCUCUACCUAAGUUCUCACUCCCUUUCCUUGCUGAGUUCUUGCUUUUGUGUUUGUAAGCCUAUGGGCUACGUGCCCAGGUAUCAUUGUGUUGAUAGAUGUGAACUGCUUUGGGAGGUAACCAUUGUCUGGAAAGUGGGAUAGAAACUUAAUCAACCCCCUCAUCCACCCUAUUUCUUUCUUGCACAGACCUGCUCUUGUCCUGGUAGAUGCCUAAAUAAAAUCAGCAAUGGAGCUGGAUAACCUGACAUCAUCUUGCCCCUCUUAGUUAUGUGUUCUGUUUCACUAGAGGAAUAUAUAUAUAUAUAUUUAUUUAUUUUUGGGAGUCAGCAGAAUAGAUUGUGCUUUUUAAAUAUUCUGCACUAGAUUAUAUCUGUCUGCCUCUCUGUCUCAUAGCUUCCAUGCCAAAUCGUGCAUGUCUGCAUACAUUCAAUUUGCUUGCAUAAUGUAUUUGUUCGUCAUAGGAUGAGUAAAGGAAAACGAGGAAUCGUGAGUGAGAUGGGGUAGGGAGAACUAGGAGCAAAGAUUGCAGAGCACAUAAGCUAUCCUUACACUCCCUGGGCAUCUAAAGGCCAGGUUUGCACUAAUGCUGAGAGCAAAUGGAAAAUGCAAAAGAUCUUAGGAUGCUAACUGCUGCUCUAAAUUCCAGACCAAGAUGACAAGAGCAACAAACUAGGCAACGAAUUCUGAGCAUCAAACAUACAUUUAUGAACUCACCCCUACCCCAUCACCCCAUGGCUAUAUUAUGAGAAUUGAGGAAGAAAGGCCACCCCUCUCAUCUAGGUGGAGAAAAUGAUGCUCCCUAAGCUUUUAUAUUCAUACUAGCUGUGCCCCGCCACGCGUUGCUGUGGCGAAGUAUGGUGGUGUUGGUGAGAAAUUGUUGAGGUAGUGGUGGUAUUGAAUGUCUGUUGUAUGGUUGUCUUUAUGUUUAGUAUGCACACUGAAGUGGAUUAUAUGGCAGUGUGGAGUCAAGAUAAUCACUGGAUAAUAUAAGAUUAUAAAUGGGUUAUAUAGCUGUGUGGAAGGGCCUUGAGUCUACACUGCCAUAUAAUCCAGUUAAAAUCUGAUAAUCUGUGGAAGAGGCCUAAGUGAGGCCUAACUGUGCCUGUCCCCUGGGCUGAGUAGGUUGCUAGGAGACCAAGUGGGCAUAGCUUAGCCUUCAAACUGGCAACAAUUGGAUAAAGACUAUUAUUCCUCUCCCUGUAAUUAGGACUUUAUUUUUCUUUUCUUUUUGUUGUAUCAACCUAGAGCCGUGAAUGAUGGGUUGUGUUGUCAAAUUUCGAGGUUAGGGGGCCUGUAGUUUUGUUGUUUUGUCCGCUGCCCUGAUGCCAUCAUAGAAUCAUAGAAUAGUAGAGUUGGAAGAGACCUCAUGGGCCAUCCAGUCCAACCCCCUGCUAAGAAGCAGGAAAUCGCAUUCAAAGCACCCCCGACAGAUGGCCAUCCAGCCUCUGCUUAAAAGCCUCCAAAGAAGGAGCCUCCACCACGGCCCGGGGGAGAGAGUUCCACUGUCGAACAGCCCUCACAGUGAGGAAGUUCUUCCUGAUGUUCAGGUGGAAUCUCCUUUCCUGUAGUUUGAAGCCAUUGUUCUGUGUCCUAGUCUGCAGGGCAGCAGAAAACAAGCUUGCUCCAUCCUCCCUAUGACUUCCCUUCACGUAUUUGUACAUGGCUAUCAUGUCUCCUCUCAGCCUUCUCUUCUGCAGGCUAAACAUGCCCAGCUGUUUAAGCCGCUCCUCAUAGGGCUUGUUCUCCAGACCCUUGAUCAUUUUAGUCACUCUUUUAUAUAUA